rnacentral:rRNA from 1 species
GACGAACGCUGGCGGCGUGCCUAAUACAUGCAAGUCGAACGCAGUGGGGACGGGUGAGUAACACGUGGGUAACCUCCCAUCAGAGGGGAUAACACUUGGAAACAGGUGCUAAACCGAUACUGAUGGAUGGACCCGCGGUGCAUUAGCUAGAUGGUGAGGUAACGGCGUACCAAGGCCACGAUGCAUAGCCGGCCUGAGAGGGUAAUCAGCACGACUGGAACUGGGACACGGCCCAGACUCCUACGGGAGGCAGCAGUAGGGAAUCUUCGACGAUGGACAGAAGUCUGACCGAGCAACGCCGCGUGAGUGAAGAAGGUGUUCGGAUCGUAAAGCUCUGUUGUUAGAGAAGCGUUAUCUAACCAGAAAGCCACGGCUAACUACGUGCCAGCCGCCGCGGUAAUAC